CAGACAACCAGGAGGUUGGCUUAGAAGCAGCCAUCCUUUAAAGAAAGCGUAACAGCUCACUGGUCAAGUGAGUCUGCGCCGAAAAUGUAACGGGGCUCAAAGUAUGUACCGAAGCUACGGGUGUAAAAGUUUCUUCGGAAAUUUUUACGCGGUAGAGGAGCAUUCCGUAUGCCUGUGAAGGGUCAUCGUGAGGAGGCCUGGAGGUAUCGGAAGAGAUUAUGCUGGCAUAAGUAGCGAUUAAACGCGUGAGAAACGCGUUCGCCGAAAUUCUAAGGUUUCCUGGGGAAGGUUAAUCCGCCCAGGGUGAGUCGGGUCCUAAGCUGAGGCUGAAAGGCGUAGGCGAUGGACAUCCGGUUAAUAUUCCGGAACCGCUGUUUGCAUGUUAUGCAACGGAGUGACAGAUUGGGAUAGUUCAGCCCCCUGAUGGAUGGGGGUUCAAACGCGUAGGAAGAUCCGCCAGGCAAAAUCCAGUGGAUCAAUUCCAAGGCGUGAUGUCGACCUGGAUCGCAAGUGAAAGGGAAGUGAUUGAAUCCUGGUUUCAAGAAAAGCUUCGUUGUGAUGUAGAUGGCGCCCGUACCGUAAACGGACACACGUAGAAAGGGAGAAUAUCCCAAGGCGCUUGAGAGAAUUCUGGUCAAGGAACUCUGCAAAUUAACGUCGUAACUUCGGAAGAAGACGUGAUCUUUAAAGUGUAGGUGCACAACCGAAGCUUUGAAGAUUCGCAGCGAAAUGGUGGCGGCGACUGUUUAUCAAAAACACAGGGCUGUGCAAAGUCGUGAAGACGACGUAUACGGCCUGACGCUUGCCCGGUGCUGGAAGGUUAAGGCAAGGGGUCAAUCUCGCAAGAGGUGAAGCUCUGAACCGAAGCCCCAGUAAACGGCGGCGGUAACUAUAACAACGGUUGUAGUUAUAAAAUUCAGCUAUAUGCGGGAAAGUCUGGUUAGUAUCGGAUGAUACUCGUUGGGUUUCAGCCCAGCAGUAAAAAUGCAUCCGUGCAGGCAAUCCGCAGGAAAGACUUGGAAAAUUUAAAAUUCAAAAUGCAAAGUGCAAAACCACAAUGCAAAAUGAAAAAUUUCAGUUUUCUCAAGAAUCCUCAGAGACUAUACGCUGAAUCCGAUUCCACUGAAUCGGAAUGAUAUAGUCCGAACCCUGUGGCGACAUAGGGAGAUAGUCUGAAAGGACUAUCCGCCCCGCACUUUCAAGAAAGUGCGGGGUUAUUAAAGUAACAACGCGAACCGUCCUAAGGUAGCGAAGUUCCUUGUCGGGUAAGUUCCGACCUGCACGAAAAGCGUAACGACUGCCACACUGUCUCGACCGGAAGCUCAGCGAAAUUGUAUUGGCCGUGCAGAUGCGGUCUACCCGCGGCAAGACGGAAAGACCCUGUGCACCUUUACUAUAACUUGGCAGUGAAUUUCGGGCUUGUUUGUGUAGGAUAGGUGGGAGCCUUUGAAACCGGGGCGCUAGCUUCGGUGGAGGCAACCUUGAAAUACCACCCUGACUAUUCUGGAAUUCUAACUGACACCCCUAAUCGGGGUGCAGGACACUGUCUGGCGGGUAGUUUAUCUGGGGCGGAUUCCUCCCAAAAAGUAACGGAGGAGUGCGAAGGUCACCUCAGGCUGAUUGGAAACCAGCCGUCGAGCGUAAGAGCAUAAGGUGGCUUGACUGCGAGACUGACAAGUCGAGCAGGUACGAAAGUAGGCUUUAGUGAUCCGGUGGUCCCGCAUGGAAGGGCCAUCGCUCAUCGGACAAAAGGUACGCCGGGGAUAACAAAUGUUGUCCCGUUUGACAGGUAACUGUCAGACAAAGUAUAUGGCUUAUAACGGGGAAGCCCAAAUUUGUUGCGAUAUUAAGGGUAUCGCGCUGUCGUCACUUGAUGACAAAACAGAUGGGUAAUCCCGUGGGAAGUCGCGCGGCAUAGCUACGAAAUCAAAAAUAAAAGUGUAAAGAUCAAAAUUUUUGAGUUUUGAUUUUUGAGAUUUGGUCUUGUUGCGAAGCAGCGUUGACCCCGUAACGACUUCAUUCGUAAUGAAUGGGAUGGGUGUUACUUGUGAGAAAAAUUUCGCAAAAUCUAUGACAUCCAUAAUACGCCAUACUCCCACACGUUCAUGGAAAGUGCGGGAUGAUGAUAUAGUCUAUACUUAUCGAAAGAUAAGAUAAAUUGAACAGGCUGAUCGCUUCCAAGAGUUCAUAUCGACGAAGCGGUUUGGCACCUCGAUGUCGGCUCAUCACAUCCUGGGGCUGAAGCUGGUCCCAAGGGUUCGGCUGUUCGCCGAUUAAAGUGGUACGUGAGCUGGGUUCAGACCGUCGUGAGACAGGUCGGUCCCUAUCUGCCGUGGGCGUAGGAAACUUGAGGGGGGCUGUCCUUAGUACGAGAGGACCGGGAUGGACGCACCUCUGGUGUACCAGUUAUCGUGCCAACGGUAAGCGCUGGGUAGCCAUGUGCGGUGGUGAUAACCGCUGAAAGCAUCUAAGCGGGAAGCACGCCCCAAGAUUAGGUUUCCCCAUCAGACCACUCGAAGAUGACGAGUUUGAUAGGCGGGAGGUGGAAGCGCUGCGAGGCGUUUGAGCCAACCCGUACUAAUUGGUCGAUUGGCUUGGCCUUAUAU
rnacentral:rRNA from 1 species